UACGUAGGCAGCGAGCGUUGUCCGGAUUCAUUGGGCGUAAAGAGCUCGUAGGCGGCUUGGCAAGUCGGGUGUGAAAACUCCAGGCUCAACCUGGAGACGCCACCCGAUACUGCUAUGGCUUGAGUCCGGUAGGGGGACCACGGAAUUCCUGGUGUAGCGGUGAAAUGCGCAGAUAUCAGGAGGAACAGCCGGUGGCGAAGGCAAUCCCCUGGGCCUGCACUGACGCUCAUGCACGAAAGCGUGGGGAGCAACAGG
rnacentral:rRNA from 1 species